GAACGCGAAGAACCUUACCCGGGAUUGAAAUGUAGAUGACCGCCGGUGAAAGUCGGCUUUCCUUCGGGACAUCUAUGUAGGUGCUGCAUGGUUGUCGUCAGCUCGUGCCGUGAGGUGUCGGCUUAAGUGCCAUAACGAGCGCAACCCCUGUCUACGGUUGCCAUCAGGUGAUGCUGGGAACUCCGUAGAGACUGCCGUCGUAAGGCGUGAGGAAGGUGGGGAUGACGUCAAAUCAGCACGGCCCUUACAUCCGGGGCGACACACGUGUUACAAUGGUAAGGACAAAGGGCAGCUACCUGGCGACAGGAUGCGAAUCUCUAAACCUUAUCACAGUUCGGAUCGGAGUCUGCAACUCGACUCCGUGAAGCUGGAUUCGCUAGUAAUCGCGCAUCAGCCAUGGCGCGGUGAAUACGUUCCCGGGUCUUGUACACACC
rnacentral:rRNA from 1 species